UACGUAGGGGGCAAGCGUUGUCCGGAUUUAUUGGGCGUAAAGAGCGUGUAGGCGGCCAAGCAGGUCCGCUGUGAAAACUCGAGGCUCAACCUCGAGACGUCGGUGGAAACCGUUUGGCUAGAGUCCGGAAGAGGAGAGUGGAAUUCCCGGUGUAGCGGUGAAAUGCGCAGAUAUCGGGAAGAACACCCGUGGCGAAGGCGGCUCUCUGGGACGGUACUGACGCUGAGGCACGAAAGCGUGGGGAGCAAACAGG
rnacentral:rRNA from 1 species